rnacentral:rRNA from 1 species
UGGGGAAUAUUGCACAAUGGGCGCAAGCCUGAUGCAGCCAUGCCGCGUGUAUGGAGAAGGCCUUCGGGUUGUAAAGUACUUUCAGCGGGGAGGAAGGGAGUAAAGUUAAUACCUUUGCUCAUUGACGUUACCCGCAGAAGAAGCACCGGCUAACUCCGUGCCAGCAGCCGCGGUAAUACGGAGGGUGCAAGCGUUAAUCGGAAUUACUGGGCGUAAAGCGCACGCAGGCGGUUUGUUAAGUCAGAUGUGAAAUCCCCGGGCUCAACCUGCGAACUGCAUCUGAUACUGGCAAGCUUGAGUCUCGUAGAGGGGGGUAGAAUUCCAGGUGUAGCGGUGAAAUGCGUAGAGAUCUGGAGGAAUACCGGUGGCGAAGGCGGCCCCCUGGACGAAGACUGACGCUCAGGUGCGAAAGCGUGGGGAGCAAACAGG